rnacentral:lncRNA from 1 species
GGGCUCCCAGUGAGACCCCAGAAACGCUGAAACCCUAUUUCCUGUUUUCUCUUUUACUUGCUAGAUGUCCCAAUUCUUUUUUAGCAUAACUUGAUGUGACACCAAUGUCUUUGAUAUGUGUGUCUGAGAAAGCAGCUACUGAAAACCAUCUUCUCCAGCAAGCCUUCCAGGACUGCAGAUAGUGCAAAGGAAGAAUGAGCUACAGCAAGAAAAUUAUAUGGUCUUGAAGACAUCUUUAAAAAUCCGUUGGAACAGAGUAUAAAGGUGUGUUCCAGAAAAUUAGCCAAUGGCAC